CCCUGCUUUAUACUCAUCGAACUCAAUCAUCGUUUCUGGUUUGAAAAGAAAAGCUCCGAGGUAAUGUUUUCUUCGUUUUCCCCCAAAUUGGAUCAUUGGAGUAGUUAAUGAAGAAAAGCAAAAUGUGGUGUUGUGUGUCAGUGAGCUUCUCGAUUCAUCAUCUCCCUGUACUGCCUCAGCGACUCCUGCCUCUGCAACCUCAUCUCCGCGUUGAACUUGUUGAUGAACGCUUCCACUCGCCGGUUCAAUUCGUCCUGACUCAGCGAUGGCUCCUUCCUCAGCCUCGUCGAC
rnacentral:lncRNA from 1 species